rnacentral:misc_RNA from 1 species
AACGCACAUUGCGCCCGCCAGCAUUCUGGCGGGCAUGCCUGUUCGAGCGUCAUUUCAACCCUCAGGCCCCCCGCACUCGCGGCGACGGGCCUGGCGUUGGGGAUCGGCCACUGCCUCCGGGCGGCCUGGCCGGCCCCGAAACCUAGUGGCGGUCUCGCUGUAGCCUCCUCUGCGUAGUAGCACACCUCGCACCGGAAAGCAGCAAGGCCACGCCGUAAAACCCCCGACUUUUUAAGGUUGACCUCGGAUCAGGUAGGAAUACCCGCUGAACUUAA